GCCCGGGGGGUCCGGGCACCGCCAUGGAACCAGAAUAGGAAGGGAGCGCGCCCACCGGUCCUCGGCCUGCGCCCAAGCCCGGGAGGAAUCCGGGAGGCCUCCGCGGAGAUGUUUUCCAGGACUAAUGCAACUGAUGAAAUACCUGCCCUUUUCUGUUCAAGAGGCUGGUUUAAUUGAUUUAUUUUCCCUGUAAGUGUGGAAGCCAGAAAGUCAAAGUUUGUCGUAAUAAAAAGUAACAGUUGGAGUAUUCCCGGACAGUAGCCAC
rnacentral:lncRNA from 1 species